GGGGCGAUGGUCUAACCAGGCAUGACGCCAGCCUCGGGCGCUGGUGAUUGUGGGUUCAAAUCCCACUCGCCCCA
rnacentral:tRNA from 1 species